GCUGUUCUGAACACGUCACAUGACUCUCCUGCUCUCCUCUAACAGGAAGUCUCCUCUCUGAAGAACAGUAUUCUGGGUAUGAGCAUGUGGAUGAUGAGCUUCUCUCAGUAAAGUCUGGGAUUGGAGAAAAGGCUGAGGAUUAUGAUGAUGUCAUCGACACCAGUGACUUCAUAAGUGCUACAGGAAGAGUCGAGGCACCAGAGGACUACGAUGAUGCCGUCACUGCUGGACCGAUCCCUGAUAACGUGGAUGAGGAUGAAGCUGAGAAUUAUGAUGACGCCAUUACAGCUGAUCAGAAGUCAGUUCUACUGACAGAGGACGUGUGAGAACUAUGAUGAUGCAGUUACUGCUGAAACAAACCCAAACAUCAUCACAGAAGAUGAAGAUGAAGAUGAUGAUGAUGUGAUCAGUGAGGAACAGGAUGUAGGAGAGACAGGAAAAAGCUGAAUUGAUAAAGAUCCUUUUUUACACAUGAUGAAAAAUCUUCUUAAACACGUUCCUACACGGUGCCUCAUUGACUGGAUUCUGAAGGUGUUCCAUCACAAUGACUACAAUCCAAACCAUCUAUUCAAGAGCUCAAUGUAUUUCUUUUCCAGAAUGUGAUGAGGUGGAGGAGAAAUCUCAGAAAAACAGGGACCAUGUGACUGAGACACGCCACCAAAGGCCUUUUCUCAGGAAAUUACAUUUCAACUUUUACAAAGACAAAAAAUGAUUUGAUUCUACUUCCAAUAAUGUCAUGUUUUCUGAAUGGUGUUGAUUCUCCCCCUAGUUAUUAGUAAAUAGAGUAGUGAGAGUUCAAUCCCUUUCAUAUGACUUCAUGCAAAAUCUCCAGCUUUUCCUUUCCUACACUUUUAAUGCUAUAAGUCAACUUCAAUAUCACUGUCACACCACAACUCAUUUAUCACAACAAUUCUUUCAUCAAAACUGCUCUGAUUUUCAUCUUCAUGUUUUCCAUUCAUCAACUUCUUAUUCAGUGUGUUUAGAAAUGUGUUAGUGACUAUAAACCACUUCACAACUA